CCAAUAGCGUAUAUUAAAGUUGUUGCAGUUAAAAAGCUCGUAGUUGAAUUUCGGGAUUGGCGCAUCGGUCGUGCCUUACGGGGUAUGAACUGGUGCAGUCAAUUUCUCACCUUCUGGAGAACCGCGAUGUCCUUAAUUGGGUGCCGCGGGGAACCAGGACCUUUACUUUGAAAAAAUUAGAGUGUUUAAAGCAGGCAUUUUUGCUUGAAU
rnacentral:rRNA from 1 species